AAUAUUAUAUGUCGAAAAUCAACAAGCUUGGAAUAAUGCUUUUAUCUGUUUGCAGCAGUUUGCAUAUGGCAAAACAAAUUAUGCUCAGAGAGGUCCGACGGAAGGAGAAGCGCCAGACAUCGUCGUAGCUCAGCCGUCCCUGGUGAAGCUCUCAGGCAGAAAUGAUGCAGUGCAAUAGUCCACAAGUGGCCAAAAUAAAAAUGAAAAAUGGAUGUCAAUGUG